AUUGAACGCUGGCGGCAUGCCUUACACAUGCAAGUCGAACGGCAUCGCGGGAAAUCUUGCUUUCCUGGCGGCGAGUGGCGAACGGGUGAGUAACACAUCGGAACGUACCGGCUAGUGGGGGAUAACCCGUCGAAAGACGGUCUAAUACCUCAUACCCUCUUCGGAGGAAAGCAGGGGACCUUUUGGCCUUGCGCUAGUCGAUCGGCCGAUGUCCGAUUGUCUAGUUGGUGGGGUACAGGCCUACCAAGGCGACGAUCGGUAGCGGGUCUGAGAGGACGAUCCGCCACACUGGGGCUGAGACACGGCCCAGACUCCUAAGGGAGGCAGCAGUGGGAAAUCUUGGACAAUGGGGGAAGCGUGCUCCAGCAAUGCCGCGUGGGUGAAGAAGGCCGUCGGGUUGUAAAGCCCUUUUGGCAGGGAAGAAGUCGGCGGGGCGAAUAACACUGCUGGAUGACGGUACCUGGAGAAGAAGCACCGGCUAACUACGUG
rnacentral:rRNA from 1 species